UACGUAGGGACCAAGCGUUGUUCGGAUUUACUGGGCGUAAAGGGCGCGUAGGCGGCUUAACAAGUCACUUGUGAAAUCUCCGGGCUUAACUCGGAACGGCCAAGUGAAACUGUCAAGCUAGAGUGCAGAAGGGGCAAUCGGAAUUCUUGGUGUAGCGGUGAAAUGCGUAGAUAUCAAGAGGAACACCUGAGGUGAAGACGGGUUGCUGGGCUGACACUGACGCUGAGAGACGAAAGCUAGGGGAGCAAAUGGG
rnacentral:rRNA from 1 species